GAAAUGCGAUAAGUAAUGUGAAUUGCAGAAUUCAGUGAAUCAUCGAAUCUUUGAACGCACCUUGCGCUCCUUGGUAUUCCUUGGAGCAUGCCUGUUUGAGUAUCAUGAAAUCUUCAAAGUAAAUCUUUAGUUAACUCAAUUGGUUUCUACUUUGGUAUUGGAGGUCUUUGCAGCUUCACACCUGCUCCUCUUUGUUCAUUAGCUGGAUCUCAGUGUUAUGCUUGGUUCCACUCGGCGUGAUAAGUUAUCUAUCGCUGAGGACACUGUAAAAGGUGGCCAAGGUAAAUGCAGAUGAACCGCUUCUAAUAGUCCAUUGACUUGGACAAUACUUUUAUGAUCUGAUCUCAAAUCAGGUAGGACUACCCGCUGAACUUAAGC
rnacentral:misc_RNA from 1 species